UACGAAGGGGGCUAGCGUUGCUCGGAAUCACUGGGCGUAAAGGGCGCGUAGGCGGACGUUUAAGUCAGGGGUGAAAGCCCAAGGCUCAACCUUGGAAUGGCCUUUGAUACUGGACGUCUUGAGACCGGAAGAGGUCAGUGGAACUGCGAGUGUAGAGGUGAAAUUCGUAGAUAUUCGCAAGAACACCAGUGGCGAAGGCGGCUGACUGGUCCGGUUCUGACGCUGAGGCGCGAAAGCGUGGGGAGCAAACAGG
rnacentral:rRNA from 1 species